rnacentral:rRNA from 4 species
GAAGAACGCAGCGAAAUGCGAUACGUAGUGUGAAUUGCAGAAUUCCGCGAAUCAUCGAGUCUUUGAACGCAAGUUGCGCCCGAGGCUUGUCCAAGGGCAUUUCCGCUAGAGCGUCACC